rnacentral:lncRNA from 1 species
UGCCAAUCCAGGCCAUGGAUUUUAGAGAGAUGAGCUGCUAAGUAUUCUACUGCAGUGCUGGGUUUCCUUUUGUCCCAUAUUCGGACAUCCCCAUCAUGGCUUGUUGCUAAACAGUUGGCAUUCUUCUUGUUCCAUUUGACCUGGGAAGCUCCAGCCACUGCAGAGAGUGAGACUGUAGGCUUCCUGGUGUCUUUGAUGUCCCAGAUGUAGAUGUAUGUGUCAACAGAACUGGUGACCAGCAGGUCUGGUUCAAACACUGACCAGUCCAAGUCACUGAUCACACGUGUGUGUCCUUGCAACGAUGUGCAAACUUCCCCGUUACCUUCCUUCCACUUAUACAGGUCAACUCGCUGGUUGCUCGAAGCUGCAAAAUAGUACGCAUAGCUGUCGUGCGGGUUCCACUGCACCGCCCC